rnacentral:rRNA from 1 species
GCCCGCUCAAGAAACGUUAAAGGAAGUUAGACGGGGGCCCGGCACAAGCGGUGGAGCAUGUGGUUUAAUUCGAUGAUACGCGAGGAACCUUACCUGGGCUCAAAUGUAUGUUGACGUAUUCUGAAAGGGAUACUUCUUCGGACAAUAUACAAGGUGCUGCAUGGUUGUCGUCAGCUCGUGCCGUGAGGUGUCGGGUUAAGUCCCAUAACGAGCGCAACCCCUAUCAUUAGUUGCCAUCAGGUCAAGCUGGGGACUCUAAUGAAACUGCCUACGCAAGUAGUGAGGAAGGUGGGGAUGACGUCAAAUCAGCACGGCCCUUACGUCCAGGGCUACACACGUGCUACAAUGGCCGGUACAAAGGGCAGCGACACUGCGAGGUGAAGCCAAUCCCGUAAAAUACGGUCUCAGUCCGGAUUGGAGUCUGCAACUCGACUCCAUGAAGUUGGAAUCGCUAGUAAUCGUGGAUCAGCAUGCCACGGUGAAUACGUUCCCGGGCCUU